UACGGAGGGUGCAAGCGUUGUUCGGAAUUAUUGGGCGUAAAGGGCAGGUAGGUGGUCUUGAAAGUCUACUGUGAAAUCUCCGAGCUUAACUCGGAAAGGUCAACUGAUACUGUGCGGCUAGAGUGCGGAAGGGGCAACUGGAAUUCUUGGUGUAGCGGUGAAAUGCGUAGAUAUCAAGAGGAACACCUGCGGCGAAGGCGGGUUGCUGGGCCGACACUGACGCUGAGGCGCGAAAGCCAGGGGAGCAAACAGG
rnacentral:rRNA from 1 species